rnacentral:lncRNA from 1 species
GUGAUUUGUACUCUACUUCCUCUGUGUAUAGAAUGAGGGUACACCUGUUUGGGGCAGCUUCAUCCCCUGGCUGCGCCAACUUCGGACUCAAGCAUCUGGCAUCACAAGGUAAUGGGAAAUUCAGUAAAAAGUCCAUCAAGUUCAUCCAGGGAAGCUUCUAUGUUGAUGAUGGCCUUACUAGCGUAACAUCACCUGCUGAAGCCAUACAUCUGGUUGAAGAGUCAAGAGCCCUGUGCAGAACAGGAAAUCUUCGGCUGCACAAAUUUGUAUCUAAUGAGAAAGAUGUGCUUGCCACAAUACCACCAGAAGAACGUGCCCAAACCAGGGAUCUUGACAUGGCCCUGGGAGAACUACACAUUGAGCGAGCACUUGGAGUCCAGUGGUGCAUCGAGGCUGAUGAGUUCCAGUUCCGAGUGGUGGUAAAGGAAAACCCACUGACAAGAAGAGGGGUUCUCUCCACUGUUGCCUCAGUCUAUGAUCCAUUAGGGUUUGUGGCCCCCUUUAUCCUGGUUGGUAAGCAGAUUCUUCAAACACUUUGCAGAGAUAAAGUGAGUUGGGAUGAGCAUCUUCCUGAUCACAUCCUUCCACAAUGGGAGUCAUGGCUCAAAGACUUGCCUCGUUUGGCAGCCUUGCAGAUACAGAGGAGCUACCUUCCCUCAAACUUUGGUGAAGCUGUAAAGUAUGAGCUUCACAACUUUUCUGAUGCAAGUCUCAAAGGAUAUGGUGCAUGCUCAUAUCUCCGAGCUAUGAACAAUACAGGACAGAUCAGUUGCUCACUUGUCUUAGGGAAAGCAAGAGUAGCCCCUACCAAACUAACAACUAUCCCAAGGCUUGAGUUGUCAUCUGCUGUGACUUCAGUUCGCAUUGGUGAUGUAGUCAAAGGAGAACUUGAGAUUGAAAACCUGCAAGAGUACUACUGGACUGAUUCUAAGGUGGUCCUUGGCUAUGUGAACAAUGACACCAAGAGAUUUCACACGUUCGUGGCCAACCGGAUCCAACUAAUAAGAUCUAGCACAGAACCUGGACAAUGGUGUCAUGUUAGCUCUGAAAACAACCCAGCGGAUCAUGCUUCAAGAGGAUUGACUGCAGACCAACUGAAGGAGUUGAACUGGCUGAGAGGACCUGACUUUCUGUGGC